GCGAGCGGCGGGGCGGGUCACGGGGCACUCCCGAGGAAGUUCCUCCCCCAUUAGAAGGCACGUGGCACCGUGAGGUGCUGGGGGAGACCCCAGGCAACGCAUCAGAAACGAAACCCCUCCACUUACAAUGAAGAUGAGACAGCUGUGCAAACUGUUGAAAGAGUGGGUGGAGAGUGGUUGAAACGGGCGGCCCACGUGGGGAAAGGCUGGGGGUUCUAUGAUCCUGCCUUCGGAGAGACCCCUGGAAACCGACAAGACGAAUCCCGCCUAAAUACAGAAGGAGGGCUACCGCCGCACGC
rnacentral:RNase_P_RNA from 1 species